GUGGCUUCUGGGAGCCAAGGCAACUGACGUUUUCCCAGGCUCCUUGAGAGAGUGCCCUAUUUCCCCGGCAGCAGUAGCUCCAGGGUCCCGCUCUGCAGUCCGUAAUGAGAGGCCUCGGGCUCCGCGGGGAAGCGUCGCAGUUGGUGGAAGAGUCCCGAGCAGCAGCAAAUCCGCUCGCUCCCCGCGGGGCCGCCACUCUCGCUCGCACUCUUGCUCUCGGUCCGGGAACCGGAAUGGCCUGGGCCCCCAGCGGAGUGGCCUCAGCCUGGCCUCCCGGAACCAGCCCUGCCGACCCGUUCGCGGUCACGUUCUCCGGAGCGGCCCCCUGCGCCGCGGGGCACCCCCUUCGCCUCUGCCUCCUCGUCCGCCCGUCGCGGCCGCUCCCCGCGCCCCUCCGGGACCGAUAAGCCACGGGUCUCUGGGACAAGGAGAGGGAGAGGAAAGGCCAUGUAAGGACACAGGGAGAAGGCACCAGUCUGCAAGCCAGGAAAUUUCUACCAGAAAUCAGUCCUGAUCUUGGACUACUAACCUCCAGUAUGUUCAGCUUUGAUGAACACACACCAGUAGAGAUGAAGAGCCGAAGAAAAGCACCACUUCUGCUUCUACUUCAAAAGAAGAAGAAGAGGAAGUCUAGUCAUUGAAAAGAAAGGUCCAAGAAAAAGAGAAAGAAAAAAUCAUCUAAAAGAAAACGCAAGAAGUAUUCUGACAGCAACAGUGACUCUGACUCUGAAACGGACUCCAGUGGUCUUGGAUGCAAGACUAGUGAACCGCAUGGUGUCCUUGCUGUUAUGCUUUGCCUGCUAACAGCAUAAAGCAGUGUUAUCGUCUUGACAGCAGACCAUCAGCCAUCCAGAUGCUCUGCCCCCUCCUCGUUAGAGCUACCUGCUGAUGGGCAGAGCUGAGCAUGGUAAAAAGCAGGUCCUUUUGAAAGUCAGUCUGAGGGAGGGGUGCCUGGGCGGCUCAGUCGCGUCUGACUCUUGAUUUCAGCU